rnacentral:lncRNA from 1 species
UGGCGGCGCUGAGGUCAUCGCUCGCUGUCGUCAGUGCUAGGAACCUGCGCCCGGCUGAGCUGAGCGAGGCGAGAGGAGAAAGCGAGGCCCGGGGACGGGACUGAGAGCUCUGAAAGGAGGGAGGCGGCUCCCGAGUACUCCGCGCGGGGCAGGCCCCGGCCUCGCCUCUUCGCCCAUUUUUAAGGCUCGAGUUAGAGGCCACCUCCUCCGAGAAGCCUUCGGUGACACCACCUCUCCCAGACGGUUCCCCUUUCUGAUUCCCACAGCAUUUUCCAACCAUUCACGGGACCGCCACCAUCACAGGCACUCGGUAGAUGUCUGCUGAAUGAGGAUAACUUCUACCCAACACCGUGAAGCCUGGCCCAGGGUCUGGCAUACAGAUGCCGUGUUUGUAAGUCCUGGUUGCUCAUCUCGCCCACUUGCACAGCCCACCUGUGUGGCCGACUCAGGAUUGACCCACCUGCUCUCUUCAGGCCAUAUUCCCACGCAGAAGUGGGUCCCACUCCUCAGGCCUCUGUGCUGGCCCCGUCUGUGGGGUUAGCAAGCAGCCCUGCUCUCCAUUUCCAGCUCAGAAGCAACUGGAUCGUUACCUCAUUGGUGACAACUUGACUGUGCUGCCCAGAGCUGAUAAGAAACAUCACCCGGGGAAGACCAGCUGCCUCUUCCUUGCUUCCUAAUCAGGGUGGAAAUACUGCUAAAUAUAUCACAACUCUUUGCAAGCAUCGUUGGGUAAUGAUCGGGACAUCUUUGUGGGUUCCCUAUCAUUUUCUCACAAAGUUGAGCCUUUCAAGGUCAGUUCUAGGCCAGCCAGUCUGGGAGUCAUUCUUUAGAAUCAGAAGAGAAUUUAAGAAGAGGAGAAGAUAAGAUUGUCUCUAAAACCUGCUAAUGAGAACUACAGGAAGGUGGGGAUGCUAGCUACUUUUAAUAUUUCUGGUUUGAACCCCUUCCUCCACCCCAGAAUGAACUGAGAGUAGGUACAGAAAUAGAUAAUGCAAAGACGGUUAGGGUUGAGGGUAAGCAGAAAACUACCCAUCUAGACCGAAGGAAGGCUUGCUAACAUAUCAGUAAGCAAACAGCUUUCUAAUCUGCAGGUAACAAGUUUUACAUCCCUGAGGACACUUUUUGAGAUAGGACUUUGUUUGUUUGUUUGUUUGUUGUUUUUUGUUUUUUUGAGACAGAGUCUCGCUCUGUCUCCCAGGCUGGAGUGCAGUGGCAUGGUCUCGGCUCACUGCAACCUUCACCUCCCAGGAUCAAACGAUUCUCCUGCCUCAGCCUCCUGAAUAGCUGGGAUUACAGGUGCAUGCCACCAUGUCCAGCUAUUUUUGUGUGUGUGUGUGUGUGUGUGUGUGUGUGUGUAUUUUUAGUAGAGAUGGGGUUUCAUCAUGUUGGUCAGGCUGGUCUGAAACUCCUGACCUCGUGAUCUGCCCUCCUCAGCCUCCCAAAGUGCUGGGAUUAUAGGCGUGAGCCACCGGGCCCAGCCUGGGGCUUUUUGAGACCCUAUUGAAGGCUGAGGAAGAAUCUGGAAGCUAAAGAGUAACCCAUUCCACCACCUGCUCUGAAGAUAGAAGAAGCAAAAAAAGAUUAAAUUGUACAAAAAGCACUUAAAUUAGACAACAGAAGAAUUUCCUGAUACAAAGUGGGUGUCUAAGAUGUGUUAAACAAGAUGCCUGCUCCAGCCAGGACUCAGACACUCCUGGAUGGAGAGCAUCUUCACAGUUUGGGAUAAAAGUGACUAUACAGAGUGGUGGAGUGAAGGCUGCAGGCCCCUCCCCAAGGUGGCAUCUAACCCCGGAGGUAUCAGGACCUCAGAGGCUACCCACAUGAUUUCCAGCUGAUGAGCAGAAAUAGCUGUGGCAGGUGCAGGCUUCACUUGCUGCCACCAACAUGGGAGCUCACCAAACACCCAGUGGCCAAAAGAACCAGGGUCUCUCUAAGCCCUGGGCUCACCGCCAGGCAAGCUUGGGUGCUUGGGAGGGCCGUCGUUCUUCACAGUGCAGCCCCUGGAUUUCUUCUCAAUUUACUCAACUCUCUCUCUUGAAUCCCAUCUGUGCAGCUUAGAAGUCACAAAUUAGAACCCCCCAAGGCAAAGCUGACCAUAGAUACAAAUGGUUUUGUCUGUAUAGUGUUUAAGCACUUAAAAAAUUCAUUGUGAACAUUUAAUAAUUAGAAAGUGUCAAAAUGAAAAUAUCUAUAGUUUCUCUCUAAAAACCAGAAGAUCUGUUAACACUGAUCCCACACUUCUAUUUGGCAAUGACUGGCCCCUAAGACAGGGGGUAUGUCCUCUAGCUCACCACAGUCUCCACCUUUACCUACUGCAUCCCUGCUGAGACAAAGUGGUACAUGCCAUUUAUUAAGGAUGAAUGCUGUUUUUUUUAAUUAUACUUAAUCCUCAUUUGCAUUACCUGCCUUCAUUCUGGAGGUAUUUGAGUUUGCAUCUCCUGAUAAAGAAUAAA